rnacentral:rRNA from 1 species
ACGAAGGGGGCGAGCGUUGUUCGGAAUAACUGGGCGUAAAGGGCGCGUAGGCGGCUUUCUAAGUUAGGCGUGAAAUCCCCGGGCUCAACCUGGGAACUGCGCUUAAGACUGGAGAGCUAGAAAACGGAAGAGGGUAGUGGAAUUCCCAGUGUAGAGGUGAAAUUCGUAGAUAUUGGGAAGAACACCAGUGGCGAAAGCGGCUACCUGGUCCGGAUUUGACGCUGAGGCGCGAAAGCGUGGGGAGCAAACAGG